rnacentral:lncRNA from 1 species
GUUCUGGUGGCUUUUCCUGACUUUACUUCAUUGGAAACAAGCUCUCAGGUGAUGAGGGCAGGUCCUAUAUUCCACCUAAAUCAAACAGAUGUAAAGGAAGUCUGGCCCCAGCAGCAGCCUCUCAGCAUCCACUUUGUGCCAGGAGUCCAGAGGACAUGCUCUGUACUGCCUGGAGCUUGAGGUCAAAGGUCUGCUUGGCUGCUGAGGUCCUGACUCAUUGGCUCCCACCCAGCCCAUUCGAGUCAUUGCCUCUGGUUGCCCGGCCAGGUCCCUGGCCCACCCCCUGCACAGCUGGGUAGCAUUAAGAACUUGGCCCUCUCGAACACGCCUGGGCUCUGCUGGGCCUCUCCCUUGCCACUGCUGUUGUCAGAGACCGAUGGAGGUUGGGAAGCGAGGGAAGAAUGCGGUUAUUUGAGGCCAGGUUGAAACGGGGCUGGAAGGCAGGGUCAGCCUGCGGUGAGAGCCUCUGGGCAGUGGUCCCUCUCUCUGUGACAGGUUUUGGAUGGCCAGUUCCAAUUUGUGGGAUCCUGGUGCAUUUGGGGGCUUUCCCAAGCCCCAGCAUCUCCAUUUAUGAAAGGUGGGUCCUAGGGAACCCAUCUCUCAAGCCCCUGGGGAGGACCAGGUGACCACGUGUAGGAAGAGUGUCCAGAGCAGCUAGCACUGUAUGUACAGGCCACCUGGAAGGCCCCUCGGCUGUCCUUGAGGCUUUGGGCUCCCCUCUGUGCCCCUUUGUCCACCUUCCCUGCCACCCCGUUCAUCCUGACCACAGCUUGAGGACGUCUAAAUUCUCAGGAGAGCUACCAGGUGGUCCCCACCAGCACCUCCCACCCUCUCUCAGCCAGCUUUCCCCAGCUGAAUCAGUCAGCUUGGUGUGGCUGCAACCAAAAUACCCGAUCAGACAACGUAGAGCAGGAAAAGGUCAUUUGGGGCCCAUGGGUUUCAGAGGUUCAGUCCAAGGUCGGCUGACUCCAUUGCUCGGGCCCAAGGUGAGGCAGAACAUCAUGGCGGAGGGGCGUGGUGGAGAGAGAGGGUGAGGUGCCAGGGACAACAUAUAAACCCUAGAGGAUGCCCCACAGUGACUUAAUUCCUCUAGCCACAGCAGUUCUUUCAGAUAACUAAUCCCACCCAUUGAUCAGGUCACAGCUGCCAUAAUCUAAGGCUUUCACUUCGGAACAUUUGUGCAGUGUCUCACACAGGAGAUUUUGGGAAGCACCUCAUUUCCAAACUGUGACACCCACAUUCCAGGCAGGCUCUAGAACCCUAGAAUUCCCGGGCUGGGGAUUUAGCUCAGUUGGUAGAGCACUUACCUAGCAUGCACAGAGCCCUGGCUUCAAUCCCAAGCACCACACACACACACACACACACACACACACACACAGAACCCUGGAACGCUGAGGUUCUAGGACUGUGGAAUGUUCUAGGCUCCAGCAGAGCCCAUUGGUCAUUCAGGCAGGCACGAGUCCCUGUGCCCUUGCACCCUGUCUCCUUGACUCCACCAUCUGCCUCCCCUUCCUUGGCCUCUCUCCCCCUUUUCCUCUUGAGACCAGAGAUGGCAGGAAUGUAUGUGCUCUUCCAUCCCCAUGUGUCCAUGAUGGUCCUCAGCUCUUCCUCCGCCAAGCCUUCCCUAGCCUGCCCCCACCCUGGUGACUUGACUGCCUUCUUCUGUGCCCCAGGGAGACUCAGAUGUGCACAUUCGUGACAGCCCAUCUCUCUGCCCUGUGAUAGCUGCCAGCGCCUCCUCCUGCUGGCUGAGCUCCUGCACAGCAGGGAACCCCCAGGUGGUCCUCUACACUCUAGGA